UACGUAGGGUGCAAGCGUUAAUCGGAAUUACUGGGCGUAAAGCGUGCGCAGGCGGUUUUGUAAGUCAGAUGUGAAAUCCCCGGGCUCAACCUGGGAAUUGCAUUUGUGACUGCACGGCUAGAGUGUGUCAGAGGGGGGUAGAAUUCCACGUGUAGCAGUGAAAUGCGUAGAUAUGCGGAGGAAGCACCGAUGGCGAAGGCAUCCCCUGGGCCUGUACUGACGCUCAUGCACGAAAGCGUGGGGAGCAAACAGG
rnacentral:rRNA from 1 species